AGCAGUAGCCGCGUAAUACGUAGGUGGCAAGCGUUGUCCGGAAUUAUUGGGCGUAAAGGGCUCGCAGGCGGUUUCUUAAGUCUGAUGUGAAAGCCCCCGGCUCAACCGGGGAGGGUCAUUGGAAACUGGGAAACUUGAGUGCAGAAGAGGAGAGUGGAAUUCCACGUGUAGCGGUGAAAUGCGUAGAGAUGUGGAGGAACACCAGUGGCGAAGGCGACUCUCUGGUCUGUAACUGACGCUGAGGAGCGAAAGCGUGGGGAGCGAACAGGAUUAGAUACCCGGGUAGUCCCUGUCUCUUAUACC
rnacentral:rRNA from 1 species